GAGUAUUAACAGUACGCCCCAGUCAACACUCCAUGAAGUCAGAAGAUCUGGAUGGAGUACUGUUUCCUCAAUCUACUAUCUAUGUAACCCUGGGCAAGGACUCCCGAAGAUUAUCUAAGUCAUCCUAUACAUCUCAGAUGGAGCAUUUUUUUCCCCUUGACUGCAGAAGUUUUACUUUAGUGAAAGAAAAGCUACAGACAGACCUGGUGGCACACGUCUGUAAUCCCAGCACUUUUGUGAGGUCAAUGCGGGUG